rnacentral:rRNA from 1 species
GAUGAACGCUGGCGGCGUGCCUAAUACAUGCAAGUCGAGCGAACAGACGAGGAGCUUGCUCCUCUGACGUUAGCGGCGGACGGGUGAGUAACACGUGGAUAACCUACCUAUAAGACUGGGAUAACUUCGGGAAACCGGAGCUAAUACCGGAUAAUAUAUUGAACCGCAUGGUUCAAUAGUGAAAGACGGUUUUGCUGUCACUUAUAGAUGGAUCCGCGCCGCAUUAGCUAGUUGGUAAGGUAACGGCUUACCAAGGCAACGAUGCGUAGCCGACCUGAGAGGGGGAUCGCCCAACCGGAAAUGGAAACCGGGCCAAAACCCUAGGGGGGGCAAGGGGGGGGAAUUCUUCGGAAAGGGGGAAAGCCCGGCGGGACAACCGCGGGGGGGGGGAGAAGGUUUUCGGAACGGAAAACUUUUUUUUUAGGGAAAAAAAAAUUGUGAAAUAAACUAGCCCGUUUUGGCGGUACCUAAACAAAAAGCCCCGGCUAACCUCCG